rnacentral:rRNA from 1 species
ACCUGGUUGAUCCUGCCAGUAGGCAUACGCUUGUCUCUAAGAUUAAGCCAUGCAUGUCUAAGUUCAUACAUUUACAUUGUGAGACUGCGGAAGGCUCAGUAUAUCAGUUAUAAUCUAUUUGAUUGUUCUCCCCAUUGGAUAACCGUGGGAAAUCUAGAGCUAAUACAUGCAGUUAAUUGGGUGUUGGCAACARCAUUCAAAGCAUUUAUUAGAUCAAAACCAACUGCAGUGAUGCGUCAGUAUCAUUGUAAGGUGAAUCUAGAUAACUUUGCUGAUCGUAUGGCCUUGUGCCGGCGACAUUUCAAUUGAAUUUCUGCCCUAUCAACUUGUUGGUAAGGUAGUGGCUUACCAAGGUUACAACGGGUAACGGGGAAUCAGGGUUCGAUUCCGGAGAGGGAGCCUGAGAAAUGGCUACCACAUCCAAGGGAGGCAGCAGGCGCGCAAAUUACCCAAUCCAGAUUCUGGGAGGUGGUGACGAGAAAUACUAGAUAGUUUCCUAACGGAUGCUAUACUGGAAUGGACGUAAUUUAAGAAAUUCGAUGAGUAACAACUGGAGGGCAAGUCUGGUGCCAGCAGCCGCGGUAAUUCCAGCUCCAGUAGUGUAUCUUAAAGUUGCUGCGUUUAAAACGCUCGUAGUUGGAUUACGCAGCAUAAUCUAGUAGAUUUGCUCGAUGCCACACUAAAUUCAGCUAUUGGUGGUUGCUACUAUGGUUUAUCCYGGCAGUCGCCAUCASUGGUUGAAGUGGUACGGGCAAAUUAACAGCUAGUUUAUGCUACUUUUUCGUGAGGAUGGCAGUUGACCUUUAAUGUGUUGAUUGUCGUGUCUUACGAAGCGUGCCUUGAAUAAAUCAGAGUGCUCAAUACAGGCUUUAGCUUGAAUGUCGAUAGCAUGGAACGAACAAUUGUGUUAAAUGUGUCUUGUUCAGCUUCUAGGUUGAUUUAUAUUGGCCUAGAAAUCCUGUUCAACUCACAGCACCAACCACCAUUAUCGGAUGUUGGUUUCCGUGAUGGGGUGAUGAUUAAAAGGAGCGGUUGGGGGCAUUGGUAUUUUGCCGCGAGAGGUGAAAUUCUUGGACCGGCAAAGGACUAACAAAUGCGAAGGCAUCUGUCAAGACCGUUUCCAUUAAUCAAGAACGAUAGUGAGAGGUUCGAAGACGAUCAGAUACCGUCCUAGUUCUCACUGUAAACUAUGCCGACCCGGGAUCAGUUUCGAGCUAUAUUACGCUCGUGGUUGGUCCCCCUGGGAAACCUCAAGUUUUUAGGUUACGGGGGGAGUAUGGUCGCAAGGCUGAAACUUAAAGGAAUUGACGGAAGGGCACCACCAGGGGUGGAGCCUGCGGCUUAAUUUGACUCAACACGGGAAAACUCACCUGGUCCGGACAUCGAAAGGAUAGACAGACUGAUAGAUCUUUCUUGAUACGGUGGAUGGUGGUGCAUGGCCGUUCUUAGUUCGUGGAGUGAUCUGUCAGGUUGAUUCCGGUAACGGACGAGACCAUAAUUUUCAUUUAAGGAACUAGAGAAGACUUUGAGAAGGUUCGCCUUUUCCUUGUCGCUGGUACAGUGUGUUUUCAUUGCGUUUUGACCUGUUGUCAUUCGUCUUUUACGAGAAGGGUGACAGUGGGAAGAGACGUAAUAACGGGAUGCAUUGUCCCUCUAGUCAAACAUCGUAGAGCUUGCUUUACGGUGUACUAUGAAAAGACAACCAAGAAUACUUAAGAAGUUGGAGGAAGUUUUUGGCAAUAACAGGUCUGUGAUGCCCUUAGAUGUCCAGGGCCGCACGCGCGCUACAAUGAUAGCAACAAUGAGUGUCUGGGUCGAAAGACUUGGGUAAUCUUAUCAAUUGCUAUCGUGAUGGGGAUUGAUCGUUGUAAUUAUCGGUCAUGAAAGAGGAAUCCCUAGUAUGCGUACGUCAUUAGCGUAUGCAGAUUAAGUCCCUGCCCUUUGUACACACCGCCCGUCGCUACUACCGAGUGAAUCGUGUCAUGAUGCCUUGGAACUGGACAGCAUUCAGGUAUGUUCUCAUACUGGAGUGUUGCUAGGAUCAAUGUAAAAUGGCGCAAUUUCGAGGAAGUAAAAGUCGUAACAAGGUUUCCGUAGGUGAACCUGCGGAAC